UUAUUAUAAAUACUCUUUUUUUUUUCAUUUGUGUGGAGGGAGAGCUUUAUAAAACAAUAAAGUUCCAUUUUGAUUAUGACCCAGUUCACCACAUCAAACACCAUCUCUUUCUCUUUUCUCUCUCCUUCACUUUCCUUCCUUAUAUACCUCCUCCUCUCGCUCUAUUAUACCCCCUUCGUUGGUUCACUCUCUUUCGUUUUCUCUCUCUCCCUCCAGCCAUGGCUAGGUAUAUGUAUAUAUACCCCUUUCCCAAAAUCUAAAAUAAAAAAUCCAUGCAUAUGUCAGCUAUAUAUUAUGCUCUCUUAGACAUAUCACACAAACAUGGGGAAACACACAACUAAACGGGGUGUGAUUGGGGUUAUAUCUCCUUGCUCGAUUUUCACGCAGAGAAAGAUGAGAAUUAUACAUCUACCUAGUAUAUCUAUAUGUGCUUGAAUAUGUAUACACAUAUGAUUAUGCACAUGUGAUUUAUAUGUAUGUAUAUAAUAUCGUCAUAUAUGGUUUUAUUAUUGCUCCUUUUUGUUUUGUUUUGGCAUCGUGAACAACAAUAUACAAGAGUAUGUGCCUGGCUCCCUGUAUGCCAUUUGCAGAGUCCACCGGAACAUCGAUGGCUUCCGUGGAUGGCGUAUGAGGAGCCAUGCAUAUUCCAUGUAUCAUAUACAUGGUAAUAUAUGUAUAUAUAUAUAUAUAUGAACACAUCCGCCUUUUAAUUACAUAAGGGGAAGCAUUAGCAAAAAAUUAAACAUGUAUUACAUAUAGAUGGAUGCAAGGAAGAGGGAAUGAAGGGUAUUAUGGUCAUCUUCCUGCAGUUGCAAUCAGCGACGGGUAGCAUUUUAACUGUAAAACUUGCAGGUUUUUCUUCUUAUCUCCUCCGAUCAGUCGACAACGAACAAAAGAGAAUAUAGUUUACGGUCAAAGCAGGUCAAAAAGGACAAUUGGGUCAGGCACAAGAGAUGAGAUGAGUGUGUGGACCACUCUUUUAAAGAUCUCCCAUCCUUCUCCUCUAGGCCUCCCUGGAUUAUGAACAUAUUAUAUCAAAUAUUAUUUCUUAUACGAAUACAAAUCUCUUCUACUUCUUCUUAAAUAAUGUUUAACCUAGAUGUGAGUUUUUGUUCUUGUUUUGAUUAUUGUUAUCUUUUUCAGUAGUGUCUGUCCGCUUAUAAGUUGGUUUUUAGUUGGGAGAACAUUCUUCUGGAUUGAUCUGCAGGUCUGAACACUUGAGUGUGUUCUUCCUUUGAAUAAAAGAGCUAGACAUAAUAAAUAAUAAUAAUAAUAAGUUUCCACCUGCAGUGCAGUGCAGGCUAUAUAUAGUAGAGUAUAUAUAACAAUAUAUAACCAUGAGGUGAGCCAUAUGGGGGCCACUACCCUCCCUUCCACAUUGUGUUACGCUUCCCUUUAACAGAGAUUGUACUCUUAAAAGUCUCAAAAAGUAGAUUCUAUAUCUAUGAUUUCUGUUCAACUUUCAUCAUGCUUUUCUUCUUUUUCAUUAAUAUUAUAACUGUACAUUUUUCUCUUUUUUUUGCUAGUUAAUUUUUAUUUUGCAUAGUAGAAAUGUCAUGUCGGUAUAUAUAUCAAAUAUGUACGUAAAACGUUAAUCUCUGCCUCUUUAAUUUUGAAUUUGAAUCUAUCUGUAUGUAGCUAGAUUAGCUAAUUGAAUUUUCUAAUAUUUAUUUGGAAUCGGUCUGUAGCUUAGCUAAUUCUGCUUCUUUUUUGGGCAGUGAAUGAUUUUUCUCAUAAAACUGAGAUUUUGAUGUUCUACUUUUAAGUUGUUGUCGAUUUUUUGAAGGCGCGGUUUUCUUUUUUCCUUGGAAACUUUGACCUUACUGUUUAAUUGUUUGUCAUCCUUUGAGUCAAAUAUUUGAUUGGAUUCAUUGUGUUGUCAUAUUUAGUUAUAGAUUAGACGAAUAAACUGGGUCAUCCUGAUAAAAUCGCCCCAUAUUUUGUAUUAUUUAUGCUCAUAAGAUGGGUGGUAUACUGUUCUU